GCAGUUCCGCCUCCGCCCUCGUUCGGGAAGCUUGACGGGUGUCGCCCGAGAGGCUCCUACGGGAGCUAGAGCAGUCGCGGCCUGCACGAAAUUGGGGUGCAAAGAAUGGGGUACGAGCCAAGAGAAUCGCUGCUUACCCCUUCAGGAGGCGCGUGAGCGGAGGAAGCGCAGACGGCAUGUUACCCCUUGGCGAAUGGCCACGGUUCCUCUUCCUCUGGUGGCUGCUGCUUUCCGCGGUUGUCGAAGGAUUUUCUCUCUCCUUACCAGCACCACAGAAUUUGACAAUUAAGUCAUAUAAUUUUCAGAAUGUAUUGAGCUGGUCUCCAGUUAGGGGAAUCAAUGGUCCGGUGUUUUACAGUGUUCAGUGGUGCUUGAAUUCUACUGUCUUUAUAUUAUAUUGCAGAGAAUAUGACCAAAUAUGGAAAGAAGUGAACUGCA